CAGAUAGAGGCGCGGUUUUCAUCAGUAUCGUCUGGGAGGGUCCGUAAACCCGUUUAAGCAGCCGAGAAAGGGUCUUCCGCCGAAGCCGGUUCUUGUUGCGGCAAGGCUGUGCUGGACGUUCCGGAGAAUAUCCCUGCGUCUGUCAUCAGCAGAAAUGCCGGUGGAGAGCUAUUCUG
rnacentral:ncRNA from 1 species